GGGAUUCUGAUGCAAGUGAUCUUGCUACUCUAAGCAACAACUCUCCACUGAAAGCUGACUCAAGCAUCUGUAAUACCUUCCAGGGUUUUCCUGAAUACAAAUAUAUAGAAGAUUCAUACAUUGGGUCCUCACUGAGAUGCCUUUGGGAACUCUUAGACAACUCAAGUUCCCUCUCUCAGAAAAGUCUGAAGGCAGCCCAGGCCCUCUGACCCGCGGAGCAGUCUCGGCCAGUGACCAGCAUGGCUCUCACCAGCCUCGGCUCCUAAUCCCUGGAUGAGACGAGCUGACAGCUUAACGGGGAAACUGGACCAAGUUGUGGACACACAGAGCUCUUGAUAGAAGCACCUUUGUCGCUCCCACACACACGCUUCCUCCUCCACUCCUCACUCCCACCCCACCUGUGAGCUUCUUCCUCUUCUCCUACCUGCCUUUCUCCAAACGCAGCCUGAGGGCUGGAUCCCUGGCUUUGAUAUCAGGGACGAUGCUGCUCAUAAUACAGAUGUCAUCAGGUGACAGAAUUCAGGGAGAGAAUGGCAUGUUUGACAUCCGUGAAUUCCUGACAGCCACACACAAGGACCGAAC
rnacentral:lncRNA from 1 species